UACUCCCUCCGUUUCAAAUUAGAUGUCCACUUUAAAAAAAUCACACAGUUUAAGAAAAGUGGUUAUUCACAUAUUAAUUGCAUUAAAUGAUCAAAAUAUGUGGAGUGAGAUUGAUCUAGGAAAUAGGAAUAAGAGAUAUGUGGAGUAGAAUUGACUUUGGAAAUAUGAUUUUGCAUUGAAAGUUGAAGUGGACAAGUAAUUUGAAACAAAAAAAUUUCUUGAAAGUGGACAUGUAAAUUGAAACGGAGGAAGUAGUAGUAUGAUAUUAAUCACGAACGUAAUUAGGUUGAAAUUAAAUAAUAUUCGACAAAGAUAUCUCAUUUUUAUCAUUUUUGAAGAUUUGGCAAGAAUGUGAUAUAUUGUACUAGACUACUAGCACGGGAUAAUUUCAACAAAUUAGAAAAUAUCCGUACGGGACACGGAAUAUAUCAACUUCAAAUUUGAAUUUCCUACCUAAUAUGUCUACAUCAAUGUAUAAAAAUAUUUUUAAACAUUUUAUUUUAGCAAAUUUUUUAAGAGGAAAAAGUUUUAUACAUGCAAGAGGGAAGUUAUACAAAAUCCAAAAUUCUUAAUUACAAUAUUAACAAUCUAAUUACCGAUUGUCAAAAUAUGUCCAUAUGUAACAAAAUUGUUUAUCUAUGUAGCCAACCCAACCUCGUACCAAAAACACCUUACAUGUAACCACUUCACAUUAUUCUAACUAGUAAUCAUUUAGUUUGCAAUCUCAUUAAUCUCUGAAACUAUGGUAAAUUUGAAUUUUAUGACAAUAGAGUUAGACUUAGAGACAUAACCUACAGUACUACACUACGAGCCUAUUUAAAAUGAUGAUUUAUAAAUUUAAUAUAACAAGGGCUUAGUUUAGACUAUCUAUUUGAAAAUUUUAUAUUGUGGACGACCUAUAAGUUUAAAGAUAUAAUAAUAAAAUUAAACUUAAUAGGCUAUUUAAUUAGUUUAGGAUUGCGGUUGAUAUUUAUUAAAAAUAUAUAAAAAUAAAAUAAAUUUUAAAAAAUAGGGUUGAAAUUAACAUGUAUCAAGGAAAUAUAAUAAUAAAUAAAUUAUUCAAAAAAUGCAACCUCAAAUGUAUGACUUUAAAUCAUUAUGACUUAUUUUUAAUUUUAAGUGACUUAUUACGGGGCCGUUUGGGUAAAUUUAAAAAAAAAUAAAAUAAAAAAGUUAACUAGAAGUAAGAAGUAUGUCAAGACUUAUAAGUUAUAAAAAUGUUUGUAAAAAAAUUAAAAUUUUUUAAUUUUUUAUAAGUAUUCUGACUAUUUACAAAACAUGUGAAAAAAAAGAGACGUCUAAUAAGUUCUUAGAGAAAAACGAAGUCGAGGAUGUCAAACAUGCACGCACCUAUAAAUAUUUUCGAAACAUUUUGAUCAAAAGCCAACUCUAUGUGUCUAUGUUAACAUACAUUAUUUAUUCGGUGGAAGAGAUUGACUAUAGGGCUCGCAAAAUAUUCAUACGUGCGUUAUUGACUAGGAGUACUUUAUAUAUGCGUGAUAAUAUGGCGAUUUCUCUCGGCAAACGUGAUAAAAACAUAGUCAUAGUAAGCCUCGUAGGUCUCAUAUGCAUGGCACAAAAUUUUCUCACAGCCAUGAUAAUUUGGGAAGACUAAUUAGCUGUUGAUUAAGGAAAAUAGAACAUGAAGAAAGAUGAAUUAACGCUAGCAAUAGUGAAGUGUGAAUUGACAAUUCUGGAGUUUUCACGUUCUUUGGGUAGUUAAGAACCUUUUAGCACGAGACAAACAACAAUUUGUUCGGAAAGUAGGAGAUCUAAGAUAAUCCAGUGCAUUCCUUGUCAAAUCAGUAUGUGAUGGUACACAAGGUGUCUCCACCGCACUGCAAUGAUCAACGUUAACAAAAUAGCUUUGAAACGCUAACGCCCUGCUCCCGAGUUAUAAUUAGAGAGGAAAACAAGUGAAAAUAAAGUAAAGUUAUAUAAUUUUCACUCCACUUUGUACUCUCGAGUUUUUAAAAAGAAGGAAAACAAGUGAAAGUGGAUGCAAAUAUAGCAUACUUUCACUCCAAAAGUUAGAUGAAAGCAUUCACUUGUUUUUUCCCCUAAAAAAACUCAGGAGCAGGGCCUAAGUAUAAGCUAAUUAUGACACCUAACUGUUAUCGAAAAUUGAGGGGUUGUGUAAUUGAGAUUGAGUACGUAUGACUGUAAAAUUCGGAAAUCGUAACUAAUGAUCCAUCGAUUGAUUGCAAUAUUACGAGAAUCAGAAUUAACGACCUAUCGACUGAUUGCAAUACCAAUACAGGAUUUAUUGAGAAUUUGUUGAUUUUUUUUUAUUAACACAAAAUUUUCAGUCAGAUUAAAACAUAAUCGAUUAGAUAUAAAUCAAAAUUAAAUAUUACGUAUGGGCUAGCUAGGGUUGCGCAUGUCACUUCCUCGCCUGUGAUACUCAUAUUUUGAACAAGUUUUUCACCUUAAACAAGUUUUAAAAGAAAAAUGACACUUUUGCUGUGUUUACACAGUAUAUUUGAAGGGUAAAUAUUAUAUAACAUCUUGGAACCGCGUUGAAAACCUUGUGAAACCACUAUAAAUACACUUGGUACACUUGCCUUUAACCUCACCCUAUCCUCUUUGGCAUUACUCUCACAUUCUCAACAUUAUUUUCUCCACUUAACAUAUCAAAAAAAUGGGAACAGGACACUCUCCUUGCGCCUCCUGCAAGCUGCUCCGGCGGCGAUGCACCAAGGACUGCACUUUCGCUCCGUACUUCCCUUCCGAUGAUCCCCAUAAGUUCGCCAUUGUUCACAAAGUGUUUGGUGCUAGCAACAUUAGCAAGAUGUUGCAGGUUCUCUUUUUUCUUCUCUGUUCUUCUCUUCAUUACCAACUACUUGAUUCUCGCACAUGCAUAAAAUCUUUAAUAGUUCAAAAAAGUUAAAUUUCGAUUCAAGAUACAUUUUCUCAAAAUAAUUAUGUAUUUUAGCUACAGGCCUCACAACAUUUAUCAGAAUACUAUCUGAAAUGUUCUCAUAGGACCUUAUGCUACAACAAAUAUUAUUCAAAGAGAGUUGAACUUUAGACCUCUGUGAAGUUCUGAUACCAUGUUGAGAACCGGUUCAUCUUAAACUUUGAGGUGUUGGAAGAAGGCUCUAAAUAGAUGUUAUGCUAUGUUUCAACAUAAUAUUAACUUAAUUGUUGUGAUUUUAUUUAUGCACAGGAGCUUCCGAUUCAUCAGAGAGCAGAUGCAGUAAGCAGUCUGGUUUACGAAGCCAACGCAAGGGUCCGAGACCCGGUCUACGGAUGCGUAGGAGCGAUAUCAUACCUGCAAAACCAGGUGUCUCAGCUUCAAAUGCAGCUGGCAGUGGCUCAGACCGAGAUGCUCUGCAUCCAAAUGCAACAAGAGCAGCCUCCCCUGCUACCACCUUCCAUGGAACCCAUCAGCGCUCAUGAUCUUAUCGGCGACGACAAAUCGAGUUUUUACAGCAAUAACAUGAUGCCUCAGUAUCUCAACUACUCAUCCUCGAAUUCUACCAAUGUAAUCCAUGAUUCUCUCAAGAGAGAGUCUUUCUUUGGGCAUGACAUGCAUGUUUCUUAAUUAAUUUAAUUUAUCUAUGCUUCAAUGUUGUUAAUGACUACUUAAUUAUCAAAUUCAUUGUUUUUUCCACAGAGCAAAUAUGCAAAUAAAGUCGCGCGUUAUGUAUUAGUUUAAGACUUGUGUCUUAAGCACAUGACUCACACAUCUGAUAAAUGCAGUAUCUAAACGGAUACUCCCUCCGUCUUCUUUUAUAUGUCAUUUUGAGAAAAAUUUAUCAGUAUUUUUCAAAUUUACUUACUCCGUCGUAUUUUAUAUGGGUGAAAUGAGUAAUAGAGUCAACUGUAGCAUGUGGGGUGGUGAGUUCGGAGCCUUGGAUAAAGGGCUUCUUCUGUUAAGUAAAUCAGUCUUAUGAUUAAACAAUUAGACCUUGUUUCAGUAUAUUAAUGGUGGACUAAUUAAUUUUAGUGUUUCUCAACUUCCUCAGUGUCAGACAUAUAUUCCAAAUGUUGCUAGACCUGAUUACAGUAGUGUUCUACUAAGGCUCUUCGCGCGAGUAAAUAAUACUACUGAGUUCUUAUUUAAAUCUUGUUCAGUCUGGAGUAUGUUUCAGUUGAUAGUGAGUAGGAUAGAUCACUAUAUAUUCUCGAUUUCUUCUUUAUAAGUUUUGUGGCUUUCUUAGAAAAUAAAAAUAAAAAAUACAGUGAAAGAAAACAUUCUCAGUAUGAAAACAAAUAUCAGAAAUUAUUAGAGGGCGACCAUCUAAUUAUACUUCUCCAGUUCUCCUUAUUGGAAUUUGCUAAUUUGCAAGGCAGAUAUAAUGUAAAUAUUUAAAAAUAAAUAUAUAUUAUAAAAAUAUGAUGUUCUUAUGUGAUAUAUAUAUAUAUAUAUAUAUAUAUAUAUAUAUAUAUAUAUAUAUAAUAUUCCAAAAAAUAUAAUAUUCUUAAUUAACGCAUAUAUGUAUUAAUAAGUUUUGUAUCUUAAUAGCAAGAGAGAUAGGAUUUCACCAGCAUGCAUCUGGCAGUGUACGUGUGCAAAUUUUUGUUUAUUCGAAGGUAAUCGUUGAUUAAGAUACGAGCAAAUAAGUAAUAAGUGGUUAUUCAAAUAAAAAUAUUAUAUCUUAACAUAAGUGGUUAUUUUGUAAAAGAAAAACCCACCGUGAUUAGGUGAAAUUCGAAAAUGGACACACAAAAUAGGUCAUAUCAUAUUAUCGUCACUUUUUAAUUAAAUAAUGAUAUAUUAAACAAUAAACCUAGCUAGCUAGAUAUCAAGUUCUAAAAGUUCAUGCAUGAACUACAGUCCUCUCAACGUGACAACAUUUCAGAAGUCAACUUAGAAAGCAAGUAGGUCACAAUUCUACAAGUAAUCUGGAUAUUGUCGGUUUACAUUUCUUAAUAUAUGAUAUAUAUAUCUUGCGCUUUAAAAUAUCUUGUUUAAAACAGCUUAAUUAUGAUGAAAUUUUAUUAUUAUUAUUACUCCUACUACUACUAUUAUUUGGAAUUUGUGAUUUGACUACAUUUUCAUUUAAUACUAAUACUUUGAAUAUUAUAUAAUUAAUUACAUAACUUAAAACUUUACACACAUAUAAACAAUUAUUCAAAUACAAAUUAAAUGAGAAUAAAAAUAACGGUUUCAUUUAUUUCGAAAGUGAGGAAGUUCAUUUUUUUUUUUUAGAAAAUAGAAAUUGCAAUAGCCGGCAUGGCAUAUUGGCAUGCAUGUGUUACAUGCAGGCAAGUCCGUGAGAACUGAGAAGAAGCUUCACGGGUUCUAAAAACUCAUUUCACAUACAUUAUACAAUUAUUAAUAUGAUGCGUUUGUUAUAUAAGACUAAGAAAGGUAUGAUACACAAAAAGUAGAGGAUAUAUAGGUGGUGUCUGUGUAUCACUUAAAAGUCAACUUAUGGGUUUAUAAAUUAUAAACACUUAUUCGUACCGUUUGUGUAAAAAGUCAAAAAACACUUAUAAAAAGUUUGGAUUACUAGUUUUUAUUUCAAAAUUUCUACUUUUUUCCCAAACACUUUAAUCACUUAUAAAUGUUGACUUACUUGUAACUUCUACUCAACUCACUUAUUUUAAGUUUAUCCAAACGGCCCCAUGAUAGUUAGGGGUGUGUGUAUCUAACCAGUAUUAAUAUGAAUGAAUUAAUAUGAAUGAUAUGCAGCUGGAAGGAAAGGGAUCGAUAGUGUAAAUUCAUUAAGCUUUUGCUAACCAGACAAGAGCUGAUAAAAGUAUAAUAAAAUAUAGAUUAGUGUUGAAAAUUACCUUAAUGACUCAUAAGUUGUCUGAGUUUACGCAGACAUGGAAAGAAAAUCUUGUGGUUUUAGCGUGUCCUAGAUGAAAGUUUUAGGGGUUAAUUUCGAGGGAAACUAACAAAUCAUUUGGAAAAAAUCGAAGCUUUGAAAAUCAUACUGCACGGAGAAACUUUGAUGCAUAAACAUACAAAAAAAAAUAUAUAGGAAGAGUUAAAAACAAAAAGUGGAGAACACUUUCAGUUUUGAGGGCUCGAGAACGAACAAAUCAUCCUAUGCAUAUUUCAGUUUCAACUUUCAACCUAUAUUAUAUAGCUUUUCUGUUUCGUCUGCUCUGACUCGUGUAUUUAUUUUCUCUAAUUUUGCCCCCCUUAACAUUGGUAUAUUUUGAGCAAUAAUUUUAUAUGGGGCUCCAAUUCGUUUUUUUUUGCAAGUGUGACAUGUUCAAUGAUGGAACCUAACGGAAUCUUUUUUCCUUUUUAAUAAGGUAUAUAAAAUAUAAUUUCUUAAUUUAUUUAUAAGAACUCCUUUUUAUUAAAAAAAUCAAUAUUAAUUUAUUUUAAAAUUAAAUUAUUAUAAAAUUAUAUUAUUAAAAAUCUUAAUAUAUGUUCAAGUCCUUAACCCCAAGUAUAAAGAAUUAAUUGUGACGAACUAAGUAACUGAUUUCGAAAUAAUAUAUGAGAAGUUGUACGCAUUCGAAUUCGUGUAAUUUCAACGGAAUCAUCUAGAAAAUAAUUGCAAAAUUUUGAGAAACUUUUGGCAGCAAUUUCUCACUCACAAUUGAGAAGCACGAAUCUCACUCACAAGUGUCGAGAAAUAGUUUGCACAUGAUGAGGUACAAAAAUUAACUUUAGUUUCAAACAAAUUAAUUUCGACAAAUUUUUCCCGACAAAUUCCUUCCAAAAUAUUUUGACAAUUUAUUUUCGGCGGUCAUUAAGGUCGUAGGAGCUGCGGUUAAACCUUUUUUUUUUCUUUUUUUUUUGAAUAAAUGACAAAUUUCAUUACUACGAAAUGUAUCAUACAUAAGAGUCUCCAACAACACAUCUCGAGGAGACGUAAACACAUUUUGACAAUUUAGAGAACACGUAAUUUAGCUACAAGAUGAGUUAUCCCACUCACUUGUCUUUUAACAAAGAAAACUGAAUAAUCUGAGUUCGAAUAUAAAAUAAGCUUGCAGACAAUCAAAAUAUGGCCAACUUCUAAGAGAUUUUCCUGAGGGUCUUGCAAAGCUCUAACAGCAAGAAGAGACUCUGAUUCAAUUAUUAGCAUCUCAUGAUUCAAUGUUAACAGCCACUUGAGACCUUCAAGGAUAACACUUGCUUCGGCUUCAAUGACAGUAGCCACCAUUGCUUUACAAAUCGUUUUACUUAUCACAAAAGCUCCCGCACUGUCACGGAGAACCAAGCCUAACGAGAAUGAGGCCUCACCCAGACGCACGGCUACAUCAACAUUUAGCUUGAGAACUCCAUCCUCGGGCUUUUUCCAUUUCACCAACGCAGUAGAAACAGAGCUCGAACUACUAACAACUUGAAUAACUCGCUUAGCUUUAGCCUCCUUCCAGUAAUAUUUCAAAUUUAUGUCAAAUAUAAUUUAUUGACAUUAGAAAAUUUUCUAGUACUGAUCUAAAUCAAAUUAGUUAAAUUAAUUUUUUUUCCUAUAAUGAGUCAUUUCUGAUUUUCUGUGAUAUCAUAUUACUUUAAAAAAAAACAAAUUUUCUACAUGUCUAGCGCUAAAAAAGCGCUGGAAAGCCAUAGUGAUCAUUUUUGAUCGCCCAUAUCAUAAGCACUAUGUCAUUGCACUACUUAAUUUCAAACACAAAAAAGCAAGCUCUCAGCUAAAAAAAUAUCUCUGCGAAGAUUGAUCUUUGGAACAAAGGUGCACACUUAAGUCUUUGGUAAUCUCUAACUUCUUUUUAAGCGUGAGAUGUGUAGAAAAAUCUAACUGUCUAGCAGUUUUUCAGCGUUGGAAGACAGUGUACAACGCUAAAAAACGCUGGACGUGUUUUAAAUCUAGACUGUCCAUGCCGCCAUCCAACGGCCGAAGUUGUGUGUGUUUUGUAAAAAUUCCUUAGCAAUCAUGUGUUGGGGACCUGGACCCGUGUAAUGAUAGUAAUGUGAUUGCAAUAGUGUGGUUGUCACUCGUCUCUGUUUGGUUUGUACUGAGUGGCUAAAGUUGCAUGUCACUGCUAUAUGGUCUAAUGGCCAAUGCCUGGGUUUUACUAAGGAAUGCUGAACUUAUGUUCUUGGUCUACAAAUGGCUCGUAAUCAAUUUUUAAGUCAGGUAGCUUUAUCUUAUGAUAAACUUGUGAUUAAUGGUCUCCCAGGGCUUGUAUUCUAAGUUUGAGUAACUCAUUCCCAACCAUACACAUGAAACAUUUCAUUGUCCAAAAAUUCAGGCAACCUUACAAUGUUCGUUAUAUCUGUUGAUAUCAUAAUAUUUGUCAUAUUUAUUUAUUUAUAACAAAUUAAAAUAAUAAUAGAUUAAUAUUUUCUAAAUAUAACCAACUAUUUCUAAAAUAUAGCCAAUCAAGAUACAAUACAUGUGUUUUAACAAAUUUUAUACAAUUAGUAAUUUAUAAUAUUUUAGUCAAUCAUUUUAACCACUUUGAAGAUGCUACGAAGCCAAAUUUGUUGAAAUAUUUUGCGGCAGGUUCAACAUAUCAGAAAAAUGACCAAACAAAAGUCUCUUUCUUUAAACCAGAACAAUCAACAAAGCACAGGCAUCCUAUCAACAUUUUUUCCCGCCAGUUUAAACGAUACACAUGUAGUGGGAGUUACAGCCUUAUUUAAUUAAGAUGCAAAUUCAGGACAUGGACCAGCUGCCUUGCUCAAUUAACAUGCAAAUUUUGGACAUAUGACAAGGUAGCAAGACUUGAGUUGACAUAAAUUACAAAAAGACUCAAAUCUCAUGCACUUUGUUCCAAAAGAUGUAGGAGACAAUUAGCAUCCAUGUCACAAGUAGCAUCUUCAUAGUUGUGCUGCAUUUGAAGUACUCUUCAUUCUUCUUCAAAUUAAUAGUUUCCAAUUGCUUCUUUACUUCUAGGUGAUCAAUCUUACUAAUCAAACCAGGUAUGAUUAACAGGGCACGAUCACACAAAGGGGGAUCCACCCAACGGAAAUAUUGACAUUGACCCUUGGCACAACCAGCAAAUCGAUGACCAGCAUUUGAAGGAGUCCAUGUCGUGUGUACCACAACCAAUGCGGGUUUCAAACACAGACACAGUUCUGCCAUUGGAGAUUGCAAUUGCUUGCCUAAAGAAGAAGAUAAAGUCCAAAUAUACAGAUGUUAUGUGUGUGUGAGUGUGUGUAUUGUUGUGAAUAUGACUUUUUAAAAGACUUCUACCAACUUAUACCUUCGCCAAAGUAAUGUUAAUGAUCAACAAUUGCCGGGAAACAGCUGAAAGGGUGUUAAAAGCAGUGUGUCUGACACUUAAAAGAUGCAGAGUGUAUUUUCUCAAACUAUUAGUACCAAAGUGAUAUUGAUCCAAAGCUAUGGGAUGCAAACUGCAAAUACCUCUUAUGUUUUAUUGUCACAUACAACAAGUUCAAAAUCUCUGUACAAAUUAUGACAUGCUCAGUGAAUAUACCACAUAGGCCCUCCUUUAAGCACAGAGGAUGAUCUUUAACUAACCUUCUACGUUUAACUGGAAAGACGGUGAACAAUCUAACUUCUGCAAAGUGCCAUCAAGACUGCAUACUUGAAUGAUGAAAUUUAGUCUAGAGAUACCAGAAGGAACCAUGAGAUCAGAUAUAUAAAAGGCUUCCACUCGUGCCAGUCCAAGAUAUUCUAGCCUUUCUUCAAGCAGUGCAUUUGAAUUUCUGACUAUUCCUUGUUUCUCAACAUAGAUAUUGUAGCUAGGGAACCAAGAAGCUGUUCCGUCUUUCAGUUUCCAAAUGAUCUUAACACUGACGGUCUUCGAAGCCUCGGAACCUGAAGUCCAUUUUAUGAACUGACCCUCAACUAACCAUGAUGCAUCAGGUGGGAAAUCUGAGUUUGUUGCAGAAGUUCUAAUAUCGAUAUGCCCCAGCACUGCAUUAUAUAUAGAUGGACUUUGAGUCACUAUUUCAUGGUUAACUGAGAUAUGUUUUGAUCUAUAACAAAUGAUAUGAAUCCCUGUUAAUGUGUAGCCCUCCAUUGCAAGACGGCUCUCUUGUAUCACCCAUCCUGGAGUUGCAUCUAGUCGUUUCACUUGAUGUGGCAUAAUUACUCUAUUAAACUUGCUAGAGAACUGCUUUGUGUUUAGCACGGAAUCACCCCGAGAAGCGAGUAGUAUUGAUGUCUUCUCCAACGCCUGAGAAGAAAACUUGAGAGAAAGGCCUACCAUAGAGCUCACAUCUGAUUUCACCUGCACAUAUUGUGCUAAUCAGCAGCAUAAACUGCAUAGGGGCUUUGGAUGUGUUAUAUAUACUCUUAGUUUGCACGACCUAGAGUAUGCAAAUCUCCAAAUAUCUUCCUAGACAAUAUUAGAAAAGCCACUCAAUAGAGAGUUGGAGGAAGCAGAAUAUUCAUAGGAAUUAAAAUCCCUUCUAAUUUAUGCUAUAUAAUCAUUUUAGCCAUUAAAUGUUAAAAACACAGAUAUUACCAAAACAGUUAAACAUCUAGUUCUAGGCAACAAUAAAGUUAAAUUUCAUUAAAAAAACAAUUUAUAAGGCUUACAGAAAAAGUAAAAAGGACCGGCAAGUUCCCAAAAAGCAGUUCUCCUUGAAAUAUCCUGGUUGUAAAAUAAGUAUCGCCAUCAAGAGAUCCUUUUAGCGUGAUGUUUCCUCCUCCAAUAUAAGACGCUUCAUUAAAACUACCAUUCAGAAGAAUAUACACAAGUUAACACAGAAGGUUAUUAUUUUACCACUAUGGCUUUAUCUAUGACGGCAAAUAGAUCGCACUUGACAAAAAAGUCAUGGGGCAAAAAAGUGGAUUGCCACUACAAUACAAUACUCCCUCCGUCCCUUUUUAGUUGUCACAUUUGCAAAAAACACACAUAUUAAGAAAAAUUAAAUGUUAUAAGUAGUUUCCAUGUAUGCCCUUAUUUAUUAUAUUAAAUACUAAGUCAUAAGUGUAUAUAUUGAUGGUAAAGUCAAACACUGGAACUAACAAUCAAGGGAUAAAUAUGGAAAAAUAUGUAUAAAUAUGCAUUGGAACAAGAAUGAGACAACUAUUUAGGGACAAAUUUCUUUUAGAAAUGUGACAACUAAAAAGGGACGGAGGGAGUAUAAUGUAAAACUACUACUACAAUUGCAGGCAUAUGAAAUAUCUGACGUCUCGCAUGUUUAUCACGUCUUUAAAUAGACGACAGUAAAAAAAAAGCAUUAUUAUUUAUUAACAACCACUUAGCCUUAUUUAGUUCAGGUCAAAUUACAGUAAGUGAUCCAUAGACUGGCAGUAAAGUUAUAUGAAACAUUGCGAUGUUGGUUCUACAUGUAACAUUAGUGAUCACUUCCUACCAUUUUAAUGGCACAUUAUUUACCAGAGCUAAAGUAAUCUGCAUAAAAUAAUCUCAUAACUUGUCAAGUUAGUUAUCACAUUCAUUUUAAACAAAGUUUGUCCUGCCUGGUGCAAAUAAGAUGUUAUAAGGUAUGCAGGAUGAUUAACCAUUUUCGUUUAAGACGUUACAUUAUGUUCUAAUCAACACCAGAUCAGAUAAGAACUAGAAAGUGCAGCACAUUUUUCAACCAUUAACUAAAGUUACUAUUUUUUUUUAAUUAUUAUUAUGACAAGUUGACAACUGCAGUAACAUCCAGUUGAAGAUAUACCGACACAGAUAGGCCCUCGUUCCAUCUACUAUCACUUCAUAAUAACCGUAAUCAUUACUCUAGUUCUACCUUCUUAGAAUUUAUAUUAAUGCUUCUAUUGUUGGCAUUUACUUUUAGCUUUAAUCAAUUAAUCAUGUGACUAAUAACAUAUGAAGCACUUCUUGAAAAGUUGCCUAGGAAAGGGGCCCACUAUAAAAAGUUACUGGGGCAGGUUGAGUUUUGUCUUUCCAGUGAAUUUAAUCUAAAGGGUGGAUAGAAAAGGGCCACCCUGACCAUACCCUUUCCCCAGUACGAUAUCUACUAGAAAGGCAAACCCAACACCUAUGAUAUUGGGAGGAAGCUCUGCAGCCUCCAGACUCUGGAAGGCCCCUGAAAACAUUUACAUCAACCACCAUUUUAAAUUACCUAAUUCAUGCAAUCAUUUGAAUUCCAGACUUUAUAUGUAAGUGCUCAUACAUACCAAAAACUGUAAGGAUAGAUCAUAGAUCGAUAAAGCUUACUCUAUAGAAACUUGAAUUGCAUUUGGUCUCUGAUCUUCAAGACAAUCUAGAAGAGGCUGUUAAAACAAGUUAAAUAUCAGAAGAUUGAAUGAAUAAAGCAUCCAACUUUCUGAAACAAGAUAGUUAACUAAAGCAUGAUGCCAAGAUUUAACACUGGAUAUGCAGCAUUUAGACAUUACUACAUAAUAUUUAGUAAGAUAAAAUAUGAUCCAAGUAAGCGCUUCUCAAAAAACCACAAAGUUUUAGGAAGCUUGUAACUUAACAUGGUAUCACAACUUAGAUUAGAGGUCACAAGUUCUAAUCCUUCUACCCCCAAUAUUGUCAUAUAUUUUAAUCUGAACACUAAGGUUUAUAUUGCCCUAACUGAUUCACUCUUCAACCCAGAUAUGAGCUCUCAAGGAGGGAUACAAAUAUUAUAUAUGAUCUAAUUAGGUCCUCCUAACACCUUAAGAUAUUAGGAGAGGGUAACUUGAUAUAUUCUUUAAAUAAUUAAAUACUUACAGAUCUAAUUAUUGUAGAUACAGUCAGAUCCUUUCCCUUUCCCUGUCCAUCCUUAUUAAAGGACCAACUCUCCUAAAACCUAAAGAAUUUGGGAAAAACCCUCCACAUAAGUCUUAUACCUUUAACACUACCCUCAAUUGAUAGUCUAUACUUGUGAGUCAAAAGUAAAUAAAUCAAUAAAACCCAUCUUUUGGGGCAAAAAUCAGCCUUAGAGCAUCUCCAACGGCGUUGGCUAUAAUCGUUGGCUAAAUUGGACCUGUAAGACAUUAUGUAAAAUUUGCUGAACCUGUAAGACAUUUUGCUUCAAUGGUAUCGGCUAUAUUGAUUGGCUAUAAUUUAAAAAUAGUAUGUUAUUAAUAUUUUAGAUUGUUAAAAUAGAAUAUAUCAGUUCAAUAUGAUAAUAAAUGAUGUGCAAUCUUUCCUACAGACCUGUAGAGGUUCGACAAAUUUAGCCAUCCAUGGGAGGUUGGCUAAAAUUAUAGACAACAGCUGAGUAUGGUUGGAGUAUGAAUUUUUCGAGCUAAAUUUUUUAUUUUUAGUAUGCCAACUCACAUUUUAGCUAAGGGCUUUCAAUGGUUGGAGAUGCUCUUAGCAUCUAUAUCAAAUUUUAAUAGUUUUGAGAAUGUCAAAGGAGGCGUCAGGGUCCAAAGUUGAGAUUUUCGGUAUACCUAAGCUCUAAUACCAUAUUAAAUUAGCAGUUCCCCCAAAACCCCCGAUAUGUUGGGGAAAACCCCUAAAUUAAGCUUAUUAUAAUGAAUUCAUUUUCAAGAUUGUUAUAGCUUUAGAAGUAGCCCAAUAAAUUCUUCCGUUCUAUGAAGUUGCAUGUUGUUACAAGUAUAGGAUCAACUAAAGGUUUUGGGAGAACUGCUCGUCUAAUAUGGUAUCAUAUAUUAGUUUGCCGAGAGGUUUCAAAUUUGACUGUAAGGAAUCCAGUACCUCCAAAAUUGUCAAAAGUUAACUAAACAAUAAGGCUGCUUCUUUACCCCAAAGAUAAGCUCCUAGAUGCACUUCCAAUCCUAGACAUGGGCUUUCCAUUUAGUGGCAUAUUUUAGUUUGUCGACUAACACGUGUGACUUUUACUAAUUCAUUGUCAUCUAGUUACUAACCAUGCAUCUUUAUAUCAUGGAUACAUAGGUUACUCAGUCAGUAACGAAUUCUAUCUUUACUUGUACAUAAAUGCAAUCUGACUAAAUAUAUUUACAAAGUGAUAAGAAAACUGAUGUUACAUCCUAGUGCUGUCGGACUUAGAUCAAAACUAAAGAUGUUAGAUAAUUGGUGCCUACAGCAUACCUGAAAGCUUUGGCAAGAGAUGUUGUUCCAAGGUUUAGUUGAUAUUUUCCUUCCGUCCAUGAAAAUGUGGUAACCAUGACCCUGAAUAUGUAAGGGCAGAGAACACUUUUGUGUCAAUGGAACAUUCUUUGGUCUAGGCCACACAUAAUAGUUGCAACAGAGUAUUCAGAAAUUACUAACAAAUCAGUACUUAAAUUGUCAAUAUAAUUAUCAUUACAGUAUAAUGUAGCUGUUAUUUAGUAGUUGUAUAUAGCUGCUAUUUACUAGCUGUAAAUCAGUGAUUUGUGCAGUUGUAUUAGGCUUGACUUAGGCUAAUAAUUGGGGAUUCUGUAGGCUGAUUUCCAGGCAGAUAUAGUGAGAUCUGCUUGCUGAUUUUUAGCGCUAAUUAGCUCUGCUGUACCUAUAAAUACAGGAGCUUGUUUGUAUAACAAAUCAUCGGAGAAAUAUAAGCUUUUUCUCAUAUCUUUGUCAUGGUAUCAGAGCUGGUUAUUUGAAAAUCUGCUCUUGUACUUCUUGUCCACCUUAAUAAUCAGUGUUUUUUUUUAGUCAUCUUUCUUGGAAUUCAUCUCUUGGUUCUUGUUUUUUUUCGAAUCAUGUCAUUGGAGCAAUCUAACAACUUUCUUGUUCGUUUUAAUGGGAAGAACUACUCUGCUUGGUCUUUCCAAUUUGAGAUUCUUGUCAAGGGAAAAGAAUUAUGGGGCUUUGUUGAUGGAACGGAAUCUGCACCUGACUCCAAAGAAAAGGAGAAACUUGCGAAAUGGAAGGUGAAGGAUGCUCAGAUAAUGUCUUGGAUUCUCGGGAGCAUGGAACCGUCUAUGAUUCUCAAUCUCAGGCCUUACAAGUCUUCUAAAGAUAUGUGGGGUUACUUGAAGAAAGUUUACAAUCAAAGCAACGCCGCCCGACGUUUUCAAUUAGAGCUUGAGUUGGGACAACUAAGUCAGGGAAGCAUGACAAUUCAAGAGUUUUAUUCUUCUUUUGAGAAUUUGUGGAAUGAAUACACUGAUAUUGUGUAUGAGAGUGUUUCUGCUGAAGGACUAGUUGCUGUCCAAAGUGUACACGAGACGAGCAAACGUGAUCAGUUUUUAAUGAAAUUGCGGGGAGAUUUUGAACCAGUCAGGUCCAACCUCAUGAAUAGAAAUCCAGUUCCUUCAAUCGAUACUUGCAUAGGUGAGCUUUUUCGAGAAGAACAACGGCUCAUGACACAAACUUUCAUCGAUCAGAAAUCACAGAAUUCUUCUCCAAUUCCUGUUGCAUAUGUUGCCCAAGGAAAGCAUAGAGGUGGAAGAGAUAUGAGUAAUAUCCAAUGCUACAGUUGCAAAGGAUUUGGACAUGUUGCUACUAAUUGCACUAAAAAAUUCUGCAAUUAUUGCAAGAAAGCUGGGCAUACUAUUAAAGAUUGUCCAAUCCGGCCUCCGAAGAAAUCUGAGACUGCUUACAAUGUCUCAGUUGGAUCCUCAAAUGCUCCGAACUUUGGUCAGUCCUCUGUUACUCCUGAAAUGAUCCAGCAGAUGAUAGUUAAUGCAUUUUCAACUUUAGGAAUUUCAGGUAACAAAAAUUCUGCCCAUAAGCCUUGGUAUUUUGAUUCCGCUGCUUCAAAUCACAUGACUAGCACAACAGUACCCCUAAAUAAUGUUCAAAAGUAUAAAGGGGAUCUUCAUAUUCAAACUGCUGAUGGUAACUCUUUACCUAUUACUGCUGUUGGUGAUAUUUCAACCUCUCUGAAUACAGUUUUUGUGUCCCCAAAGUUGUCUACUAAUCUUAUAUCUGUUGGCCAGUUAGUUGAUAACAAUUGCACCGUUCAAUUUUCAAAUUCUGGUUGUUUUGUGCAGGAUCAAGUGUCAGGGAAGAUGAUCGCGAAGGGGCCUAAAGUGGGACGUCUCUUUCCUUUACUCCCAUCACCUUCUCUAGUGUCAAAUUAUGUCUCUUGUAAUGCCGUUGAUUGUAAUAAUCAAGUGUGGCAUAAGCGGUUAGGACAUCCAAAUUCUCAUGUUCUUAGUAUUUUACUUAAAUCUGGUUUGCUUGGGAAUAAAGUUUCGAAUUCUUCAAAUACAGACAAUAUUCAUUGUGCAUCUUGCAAACUUGGUAAAAGCAAAACACUUCCUUUUCCAUCACGUAAAUCUCACACCACCAAAGCUUUUGAACUUGUGCAUACAGAUGUAUGGGGUAUUUCACCAGUGGUAUCUCAUCAACAUUACAAGUAUUUUGUAACUUUUAUAGACGAUUUCUCUCGUUAUACUUGGGUAUAUUUCCUUCGAUAUAAAAGCGAGGUCUUUAAAGCAUUUCAAACUUUCCAUGCUUUAAUCGAGACACAAUUUUCUGCAAAAAUCAGAAUUUUGCAAUCUGAUUCGGGUGGUGAAUAUACAUCAAAUGAAUUUCAAUCUUUCCUUCAAAAUCAUGGAAUCAUAUCACAACGAUCUUGUCCAUCAACUCCACAACAAAAUGGUGUGGCCGAGAGAAAGAAUCGUCAUCUUCUUGAUGUCGUUCGAACUCUCCUCAUCGAGUCUUGUGUUCCAUCUCAUUUUUGGUGUGAAGCCCUGUCUACUGCUGUUUAUUUGAUAAACAGAUUACCAUCUCCCACCUUAAACAAUGAAUCUCCCUACCUCCGUUUAUAUGAAGAUGCACCAGAUUAUUCUGAUCUUCAUAUUUUCGGAUGUGUUUGUUUUGUUCUUCUUCAGCCACAUGAAAGGAACAAACUUACUGCACAAUCUGUCAAGUGUGCUUUUUUAGGAUACGGUGGUACCCAAAAAGGUUUUCUUUGCUAUGAUCCUAAUACUCGUCGUAUUCGUGUGUCUAGAAAUGUAAUUUUCUUUGAAAAUCAGUCAUUUUUUUGCACACAAAUGACUUCACAACUCCCAUCGAUAGCUAUAUUGCCUCAUUUUCCCGAGUCAUCAGCCCCAUCACAAAGAUUUAAACCAGGUCAUGUUUAUCAUAGACGCACAUCUCCCACUAUGGCUCCUGCGACUCUUUCGGACGCACCUGAUCCUGUUCUACCGAGUUCCAAUGAUCCACCUCCUGUUCGGAGAAGCUCUAGAAAUUCAAAACCUCCCGACAGGUAUGGUUAUACAAAUCCAGUAGCCAUGUCCACUACUUUAUCUCCCAUCUCUAUUCCCACUUGUUAUAAACAGGCUAUGGAACAUGAGUGUUGGCAACAAGCAAUGGAAACAGAACUUCAAGCUCUUGCAGAAAAUCAUACUUGGGACGUUGUUUCCUUGCCUCCAAAUGUUAAGCCAAUUGGUAGCAAGUGGGUUUAUAGUAUGAAACUCAAGUCUGAUGGCUCAUUAGAUCGAUACAAAGCUCGGCUGGUUGCACUUGGCAAUAAACAAGAAUAUGGUAUCAACUAUGAAGAGACAUUUGCACCAGUUGCUAAAAUGACCACUGUAAGAACCAUUCUUGCUGUUGCUUCCUCUAAAUCUUGGCCUUUACAUCAGAUGGAUGUCAAAAAUGCUUUUUUGAAUGGGGAUCUUAAAGAAGAAAUUUACAUGAAACUUCCACAUGGCAUGGCAUGGAUAGCUCCAAAUAAAGUUUGCAGGUUAAGGCGCACUUUGUAUGGGUUGAGGCAGUCUCCUAGAGAAUGGUUUGAUAAGUUUCGCCAUACUCUCAUCAACUUCUCUUUUACACAAAGCCAAUAUGAUUCAUCUCUCUUCUUUCAUAAGACACAAGAAGGUAUGGUCUUUCUUCUGGUCUAUGUCGAUGAUAUAAUCAUCACAGGCAGUGACACUGUGCUCAUAUCAAAACUCAAGAAUAUGUUGCAUAGUACAUUUCAAAUGAAGGAUCUUGGGGAUCUUAAGUAUUUUUUGGGUCUAGAAGUUCAUUCUCGAGAUCAAGGUAUAUUCUUAAAUCAGCAUAAAUAUGUCAGAGAUCUUAUUGAGUUGGCUGGUUUAAAGGAGGCUACUGCUGUUGAUACACCAAUGGAAGUGAAUGUUAAAUAUCGAAAAGAUGAAGGGGAGCUUUUGCCUAAUCCUUAUUUAUAUAGACAAUUGGUUGGUAGCCUCAUCUAUCUAACAAUUACUAGGCCUGAUAUCUCAUAUGCUGUCCAUAUAGUUAGCAGAUUUAUGCAAUCACCUCGGCAUCUUCAUCUUGUUGCAGUGAAGCGUAUUAUUCGAUAUUUAAUUGGGUCACCUACGCGUGGUCUAUUCUUUCCAAAAAAUUCUGAUCUUCAUUUGACAGCAUAUAGUGAUGCUGAUUGGGCUGGAUGUCCGGAUACUAGAAGAUCUACAACUGGAUGGUGUACUUUUCUUGGAGAUGCAUUGAUCUCUUGGAAGUGUAAAAAGCAAGAUCAUGUCUCAAAAUCUUCCACGGAGGCUGAAUAUAGAGCCAUGUCUGCAGCUUGUGCUGAAAUUGUUUGGUUACGUGGCCUUCUUUCCGAGCUUGGAGCUUCUCAAAUUAAUCCUACUCCACUCCAUGCUGAUAACAAAAGUGCCAUUCAGAUAGCUUCCAAUCCAGUAUUUCAUGAACGAACAAAACACAUCGAAGUUGAUUGUCAUUAUAUCAGAGAUGCAUUUACUCGUGGUGUUAUUGAACUUCCUCAUGUUAGUACUAAUCUUCAAACAGCUGAUGUGUUUACAAAAGCUUUGACACGUCAACGGCACAAGUUUCUUAAUGGCAAAUUGAUGCUACUAGAUUUACCAGCAUCAAUUUGAGGGGGGGUGUCAAUAUAAUUAUCAUUACAGUAUAAUGUAGCUGUUAUUUAGUAGUUGUAUAUAGCUGCUAUUUACUAGCUGUAAAUCAGUGAUUUGUGCAGUUGUAUUAGGCUUGACUUAGGCUAAUAAUUGGGGAUUCUGUAGGCUGAUUUCCAGGCAGAUAUAGUGAGAUCUGCUUGCUGAUUUUUAGCGCUAAUUAGCUCUGCUGUACCUAUAAAUACAGGAGCUUGUUUGUAUAACAAAUCAUCGGAGAAAUAUAAGCUUUUUCUCAUAUCUUUGUCAUAAAUGCCACAGGAAACACCAAUGGCCUAAAAUCUUAAUCAUGUACCUCACUGUAUGCUACUUAAAAUUAAUUAUUUGGGAUAUUUUGUUGCCCUUUCAAUAACGGUAAGGAAGGUUCUUAAACUCACUAUUCUUUUGCUUCAUUAAAAAUGCCCAAAAUCCAUGAAAUAUGGUUAUAAUUUGGUAUAUAAUUUAGUAACUAUCUUAUAAUUUCACAUAUGCUUUUUCUUGCAAGUGUUGGGCUCUAAUUGAAUAAAUGAUACCUCUUAAUCAAACCAACUAUACAAACUCCAGUAAAUUAAUUGCCAAACUGGAGGGGAACGAGCUUUAAAGGUUACUGAAGUAAUUAAAUAAAAGGAGUCGAGGAAAAUAAGGCUUCAUAACAAUUAGUACCUGAUCAAAGUUCGAAUAAAAUGGAAGUGAUUUAGGGUACUUUUGUGAUACUCCCCAUGAAUUCUCAACAAGUCCCCACCAUCUGCAUAUCCAACACAUGCCUCACUAUCAAUUCAUAAGGUCAACCAAACAUUCUGUAAAUCAAUAUGGAAAAUGACGAACAUAUUCAACUCCUUGUAGUAGCCCCUGUUCAACAUAUCAAGACUGGACAAAGAAGUAAAAGAGUGGAAGGGCUGGAAAAUGAUCAUUCUUAAUGACUGCUACCAACUGGCAUUUUAUGUAUCAUAUAUAGGUGGAGAGAGGUGCCCUGAUAUCUCAGACACAACUAAGUAUACUACUUUAAACACCCAGCACAGUGUUGAACAUAAAAUUGCUGCUAGUUGAAGUUAGCGAAGGAGAUGAGUGAUUUACCGGUUUUGAGCCGUCUGAAAAUCAGGCGGCUGAUUUGUCUCAAGUACCCAUCCAGGUGCAAAGAUAGCAGCUGACACAUUAUCUUUCUUUAUUACAUCAAGUGCAACAUUUGUCUGAAUAUGAAAAAGAAUUAUCAUUCAAACUGGAUUUUACUUGUUCUCGAAAAAAAAGAUUGGUUAGACUGUCCACAGUAACUUGCCUAAGUUUAGUAUGUAUUGUGGAAUGUGAUAUUUCGAAACUUGUGUUUUAAUUAAUCUGAGCUUUCAAAUUGUAUGUUACUCUUAAAUUAAGUACCAGAUAUUUAGUGACACCAGGUUAGCAAUGGAGAAGCUGGUAACUCAUUGACCGAGUUACAUCAAUUUAUAAAACUUAGACCUUGCUGAAAAUAAUUAUAUUAUAUGGACUUCACAUAAUAUUACAGAAAACUCUACUUUUCCUGCUGAACAUCGUCGGACUAAAACGAUGAAUGUCAUUGUGAAGAAAAGAGUACACAUUAAAGUGAAUACCACAAGCAAAAGAAGAGUUCCCUACAUUAUAGACGUACACAAAGUUCUGAUGUCAAUAUACUGCUUGAUGAAGCGCCAUGUGAUUGAUGAUCCUUGGUGAAUGUGACGAUAAUGAUAGAUAUGGACUCAUAUACCCUAAAAAGUUCAAUAGUUGAAUUGGCAAUCUCUUUAGCAACUAGACACUGUAAAAUACAUAUCAUUGCUACGGAACAUGGCUAUAUAGGUUUAUAUGGCAUCUUUUUUUGUUUUUUUAAUGGUUGAUGUUCUAAACCCAAACUGUGAAUAAGGUAUUAGAUGAACAUAUUCCUUUCACUUGCAUGUCUACUAAGGUAGUGCUAGUUUUUACAGUAAAUGCAACAUUUCGAACUUGACGCUGUAUAACAUAUAUAUCACUGCAAAGGAACAUGGCUACAUAUAUUUGUAUGUUACUAUUAAACAUUUGAUAUUCAAAACGAAAUUGUAAAUAAGCUACUGUAUGAACCUAUUCUUUUUACUUGCAUGUCUCUUAAAGGAACAUGUGUGCUAGGUUUAACAAAUAUAUCUGACGAAGCAAGGCCUCUGUUUAAUGUAAGACACAAAACUUAAAACUUUUAACGUACUGUCCACUGUCCACCACCAAAGGUUCCCCUUCCAAAUACAUCAAUACCCAUGUACACAUCAAAUUGUCUGCUACCAGCAACAUCAGCUGAGAGCUUAGGAUAAUUGGCCUGCGUAUGAUAGACGAAAUACUUAACAAGAUCUAUUGAAAGACAAAUUCAUGAACACCAUAUAAUUAGCAGCAACAACAUACCUUCCAUGUAUAGUUAACAAAAAUGCCAUCACAUGCAUCAAAAAAGGGCUUGUUGCUGUCAUUUAGAUGAUCCUGCCACUCAAGUUUUCCAAAAACAGUAACACUAUCAUACCUACAGCAAGGACAUAAGUCACAGAACUGAACUAGAUAUGACAAAAUCAAUAUAAGGUUAUUAAAAAGGAGACGACAGAUUAGAGCUUAAUAAAUCUUAAUUCAGGAAACGUAUUGAACCUACCAUAUGACUAAAGACCCAUCCUUCGAAGAGUGCAUAGCAUAAGUUAAGUGGCUAACAAAUUCCUUUAAAUUAGGAAUUUGUUCAAUGUCUACUUCUACUUCCAUGUUGAUCUGCAAAUAUAUAGAAGAUUAUGGACAGUUAUUGACAGACUUGUAAAAAGUUAAGAGAGGAAAUCUUCAAGGGUAGAGUGUAGUCAAGAUUACCGAAAGUAAAAAAAGUCUCAAAUCAAGAGCUCAUAUUAAUUCGAUCUCAAUAUUUGUCUGCCUAUAUUUUCGAAACUUCGAUAAUACAUACAACACUAUGUGUUUUAUGUGAGAAGCUAUGCAUUAGCUGAAGGGAGUAUAUGCUUUACACUAUGACAACCCAAUACAAACAUUUGGAUUACAUAUUAGAGUCGAUUCAAUCCUGAUAUGGUCUUUAAAGUCCAAUACAUCUAUACUUUAUCUUAAACGAGAGUACUUGGCUUCGCAACACGUUGAAGCUCAGUAGAUUAAAAAAACAAUACAAAUAUUACAUACUGCGGCUAAUCUAUUAGUUAGCUCAGACAAUAAAUUGCAAGUGUAUAGAAUACAAAUAGCUAUACCAUCCGAAUAAUACUGAAAUGUCUAUAGAAAGGGGCUGUUAGGGAUCAUGUCGUAAGUCCGAAACUUAGACGGAUGACAGAAUUUUCAAAUUAAUCAUGACAAAUUGAAAAAGGACAAGUACUUACCAACCAUCCAUCAAAGCCAAGGGAAACAGCAAGCUCAGUCAAGCGCUCCGCAUACAUGUGAGCAGACUCCUUUGUCUCAAGCAGUUUACGAGUAAUAGCUUUCCCUUCAUCCCACUCGGUAAUAAAAGUACCCAGUACCUUAUUUCACACAACAUAUAAAAUUAAAAUCGGAAAUAUUUACGGGUAUACGGGUAAUCGUAAUACACAAAAAAUUAAAACUAGAAUAUUGAUAUGAGUUUGAUAUUAGAAGAUGAGUACGAAAAACAUGCUAAAGAAAAGAAUAGGAUCACGUACAUUUGUACUCCUCGAAGUUCUAUCAUGUGUAUACAGUAUAUAAGAACCCUUUUUUUUUUAUAUCUUAUAUGCUAGCCUCCAUCUAUGCAAUGCACUUACAUUUCAUAAUAUUAUUUUAAUAUUUAAAUAAUAAAAUAUUAUACGUAAAUUAAAAUUCUUUUGACGAAAGUAAAAGAAUUUCACGUCUAGAUCCCCUUCCAGUUCAAAUUAUACGUCUAUUAGUAUGUCUUCUGUCUAUCUGCUAGCAGGAGUGGUUGAUGGGUGUUUAUAGUAGAUGAUCCAUAAAGUGGUUUUUCUAUAUUUUAAUAGAGCUAGUUGAUAAGUAUAUAUUGAAUGAAUAUGUAAAAUGUUUGUAACAGAUAGCUUUUUUUACAAAUUUUCUAAAUAAAUAACAUGUCAAUUUGUUGUAGUUCCAAUGGUUCCGAAUGUAGUAGAAGAUCACAACUAAACAUCUUAUAUCUUAUAUAUUGUACUAGUUGGCAAAAUUGAAUAUUCAGACCUCUGCAGCUCGAGACAACAACAGACCAAAAAUCUCUAUUUCUCACAAAAUGAAUUUGACCCUUUAACCUUAUCAAUUGUACAGCAACACCCAACCCUUAAAGCUGUCAAAUGUAUAUUCCAAUAAACGAAAAGCAAAAACCAGCUUAGUCAUCACCAAAACAACAAAACCAACAUACCUCAUUCACAACUAUAUCAAAACCUAAUAGCCACCAUUAAAAAAACACACCUUAACACCAUGCAAGUGUGCAGCAUUAACCCAACAAGGAGGCGGCAAAGUAACCAAACUAUGCGAAAAAUACACAAACACAUCCAUCAAAUACCAAUGCCAAAUGGCAUAAGCAUCCGGGUUAUCCCCACCUUGCACCCACUUAUCAUCACCAUACCCACCAGCCAUAUCAUGACAGACCAACAAUCUCGGCCUCAUCGGCAAACUCUUCUCUGCGGCAUUUGAUCGAACACCUUGUGUGCAACCCCAAGAUUUGUUAAAAGGGUAGUGAAACGAGUCAAAAUAAGACCUGGACUCGAGUUCUUCGAGGGUUUUGAUUGGAUAAGAGAUUGGUGAAGAGGGUCGGGAGGGAUCAAAUGGGGGUGGAGUUGGGGUGGGAGUGCUCAUUUUGGUGGGGAAGAAGAUAGAUGCAAUGCUUGUGUGUAUUAUGGUGUAGAUGGUUUUGAGGGUGAUGAGGGUUUGGCGGUUUAUAUAGGCGCGAAAUGGGAUCUGCAUUGAAGUUGAGUUAGUUGACUUCAAAGACUUUAACUAGCUGUGUUUAUGAGUGGCAAAUUUGAAGAGCAGUAACAGGUUAGUUCAAGACUUUAAGUUGAGUUAGUUAGCUUUUGUGCUUUGUUUCGUUUAAUUGGAAAGUGGAUUGUUCAUUUGUGGAAUUCUCGAAUUUAGUCGAAGUUUAUUCAUGUAUUGAUUGAUCGUAUAGUGAAAUUAAGAUGAGUGAAACUCAUAUUUAAAAAAUAUAUUCAAACGUGUGAAAUAUAAUAUUAUAGACUGCAUGAACUUUUUUUUUGUGGGAAUUUGUAUACUAAACUUUGUUUUCGUAACAAGUAGGCAUACCAAAACACUUCUUCUUUUUGUAAUUUUAGUAUUUUACCAGUGUUUUUUUACACUUUAAUUUUUAUCAUCUUCUUUUCUACGGUAAGUGCGUAACAUGUUAAAAUCCUCCGUCUUUUCUCAAAUUAUUGAACUUUUAGCACACUCUUUUCAAUAUUUUUAAUCAUGUGGUAUUUGAAAAUGCAUGCGAAAAUCUAAAUAUAUAUAAUGGAUAUUUGUAAAAAAAAAGAAGAAAUAAUUCGGUUUUAUCGAAAAUUAUGAAGCAUCUAAAAAUACAUGCGAAAAUUCAAUUAUCUGUAAAAAAAAUAUUUGUUAAAAAUGGGGAGAUCUAUUUUAUCGGUUCCAUACUGUCUCAAUACACGUGUCUCACGCACUCCAUUAUUAACUCACGCAAUUCAAGAAACGUAGCAUGUAUUCAACACUUUUUAAUACUACCCGGAUAUGCCUCUCAGCUGCCCCGGAUUUCAGUGUCCCUCACAUUGAAAUGAUGUGUUAAUUUGAUGGCUCUGCAUUUUAAUACUCCCUCCAUCCCAAAUUAAAUGAGCUAGUUGACUUUAGGCAUGUAACUUAAGGUGCAUUGACCGACUAGUUCUGAUAUUUAUUUUUUUAAAUUUUCUUUUGUAAAUGAAAAUUUGAUAUUUAAAUUUUUAUUUGCAAAAAUAAAAUUUUAAAAUUAUGUAAUGUGGCUAUGCGGUCAAUGGAUUUUAAAGUGCGUGUCCGAAGUCAACAAGUUCAUCUAAUUUGGGAUGGAGGUAGUAUUACAAACGGUUUUUAUAUGGUGUGCCGAUAUGCACACCAUAAGUACUAAAUUUUAUGAGUUUAGUGUAUUUUUAUUGGUCAUCCAAUUAUAAACAUGGAUGGUUCCCUGCAUUCACAUCAAUUCAACCAAUCAAAAUCCACCAAACUCAUCAAAUUUUGUGUAUAUUGUGUACGUUAGGCACAUUAGAAAGAUCCUAUUACAAAAUCUGUAAAAUGACAAAAUUAAGUAAUGUGCGAAUCUUGUAAAAGCUCUUGCAACAAAAAACAAACUUCAACUAUCAACUUCGUGUAAAAUUGUCGAAUGCUAACAAUCUUUCAAGACUAAGCAAAAAUUGAAUACUUCAAUUCCCCAUCUUCGACAAACCUUGUGUUAAGUCAUUGUUCAUAAGAUCUGAGAUUUUAUUUUUUUUCCCUCUAGCUAUUAAUUUGUUCUAUUCCAAUACCAAAUGUAUGUUCCAGAAGUUUUUAAAAUUUUGUCAAGACAAAAUGACACUGUACAUCCUCUCCUUUGAAUUAGAGUUCAAUCAGAGGAACUUCAGUGGCAAGGAAUAUGAAGUCGUCAGCUACCUUUAUCCUAUAUUCCAUACAAUACGGAUAACAUGGAAUACGAUUCGCCUUCAUGCAUUUUAGAAUAUAUGCAUGCGAAACAUUUUAUAAAGUGAAGGAGAAAAGGGAAUAAAGUGAAGGAAAAAAAGAAUGCUCAUUUUGCUCGAGUGAUUAAACCAAUAGAGGCUAUUUUUAACUUCAUCGCAGAGAAAUUCCGAGCAGAGAAAUUCCGAGUACGGUGAUGAGACUGAGCUGAAUGGUUAACGGCUAUCUAUAAAAGUGUACAGGAAAAGAUGGCAAAGACACCUUAGCACGAAAUGGAAAUUCCAGUUGUUGCAACUACAAUAAAGAACAUGAAACAGCACAUGAAUUCAAUCAUAAUGUACUAAACGUGUCGAAACAAAUAAACAAAACUUGCAGCAAACUGGAAUUGAUAUAACUGUCUUUAAUGUCUGAAAUUAAUACAUUGAUAUAUGGAUACACUUAGAAACUACUAUAUGAUAAGCAAAGCAAAGUUAUCAGUCAACCAAAAGUAGCCCUUACCUAGAACUGACAACACAUUUGCCGGUAUGUGAAGGACAGCAGAAACUCUCUACAGCAUGACUUGUCUGCAGUUGAGCCGGCCUAUAAUACACAUCUUUAACUGGAUAGUACAGCACCUAUAUGUUUCAAAGAUCUUCAGUUCCUGUCAACAUCGCAAACUCGUUUUCAUCUAUUGCUCCUUUUUUCAGCUUCUUCAACAGGCGAUAAUCCCUUGUCAGUUCAUCAUCAUCUUCAGCAGUCUGAACAGCUCUUCUCUGCUGGGCUGUUUUCUUCCUAUUCACUGUAGUUGCAUUUUUUAAUGACAAUUUGGGCUUCUGCCGUUUUGGUUCUAGUUCUUGUUUUGCUUUUUUCUCCUGCAGGUUCUUGUUUCUUUGUUUCUGACGAGAUUUGUCCCUGCAAGAUCAAGUUCCCAACAGGGUUAGAUGUUAUACGGUGUUCAAACUUCAAACUGGGAUACACUAAGAGGUAGUAUGUACAAGCAUGACAUAGGCACGAUCGCUAUACGGACAAGGUAACAGACGAAAUAUAUUCUCUCAUAUAUUCUCUCGUACAACUUUGAACUUUACUUUCUUCUUGAAAAACAGCAACAAGCUUCAAUAACUCUAUAAUUGAGUGAACAGAAAUUAAAGGGAACAUAUAGAAGACUCUUAGCACAGGAGCACAAUGCAGUGAAUUUAUUUAGAAAAACUCACUUGAACUUGAUGUCUUCAAGAUUGACGUUUUGCUCUGGUAUAAAACCCUCGGUUGAAAUUGAGUGAUGCUUCACAUCGGGAAUUGAGGGAAGCUUCAACAAGCCAAAUCCCAUACCAAGUCUCCCAAUUUCAAGUUCUUUAAACCUAUAGACAGUAAAUUGGUCAAACAGAUGUAAUACAAAAAAUAAACAAAGGAAAGAAACUCAAAUGAGGACCGACCAAGACCUGCAUAUUACCUAAAUAUGUAGGAGCAAUGGUGCUCUUUGUAUGCGCGUACAUAAGACACGAAUGCCCUAAGUCCUUUUUCCAUAACAUCACGGUCUUUUUUGGCAGCAGUACGAAUCUGAAAGAGAUUUUAGCUUAUUUUAAAGGGAAGUCAUUCACCAAUAAUCAGAACUCACUGGACCAAGUCCUAAAACAAAAAUAUAGAGAUAAAGGAAUAAACAAACCACCAAUUCAACACAGACGUGAAAGUUGGGUUAUAAUUUUCGAGAUAAGAUGCAUCUGACCUAUGAGCUAAGAUGAUAUCAAAAUCCCACCAUAUCUUCCAAGUCAGAUCUGUUGUGACUUCACUAAAAGCUUCUAAUUUAACCUUCUAUUCUCUUUUUUAAGCUCCCUAUUUAAGAAAAGAGCAUAUCAAAUUUUUCAAUGGUGGAUUAUAUGGCACUAGAAGUCACUUGCAGAACAUCUCUGUAUUAGGUCCACAAGUACAACUAGCAACAUACAUGAUUACACGUCACUAUCAGGUUGGGCCUUAAAGCCAAAAAAUUUACUAUUAAUGCCUAAAUUGAUGCAUCAAAAUUAUUCAAUAUAUAUCCAAACUAUGCGCAUGGCAUGAUUAAAGAAGUAAUCAACCCACUUGAUAAAAAUACUUCCUCAUGUGUUCUUAUACAAAGAACAGUCUUCUACAAAGGGAUACUUUUAGGGUCAGCCUCGCUAUAAUAAUUAUUACUAAAACCAUCACUAUGAUUUUAGUAAUUUUAUAUGCACGAUUUCCUAAUUGCUUUUGUCUCAUAUGUUAGUUAAAUUAAAAUUGUUUGCAUUUUGACAAACAGCUAUUGCUAGUUACAGAGAUCUAUGAACAUGUAGAUUGCUAUUUCACUAUGAAAAGUGCUCCUUUCACAAACAUGACAGGUUUGCCAAGGGACAGAAAAUGCAUAAUCAUGCAGUUCUGCCACACACACGCACAAAAAAAAGAGUAACUUGAGUGGGGCUAAUAUCCUAUUCAGAAUCAGAACUUGAGUUUCGUGUCUAACCAAUAUUUAUCCAAAAGCACAUCACUUAUGAAUGGCAAAAAAAAAUAAAAUGUAGCCACGUUCUGAAAAUAGUGAUAAGAUUGAAGAAGAAAUACAAAAAAUAUAUGAGUCAAAUCCCAGGUGUGUAAAUCGGUUUUGCAGAAACCCUCAGUGCGAUAUACAAUCAGAUAAGUUGUCAGUAUUAUAUUGGCUUCUAUAAUCCUAAUUUUCUAUUCUAAGUUGUCAGUGUAUAAACGAGCUAAAUAGUGUAAAUGUAAAGGUUAUUACUAAAAUUUGAUCUAUAGGAUUAGUUUAUUUAACUUAGAUCAAGUUUCAGCUGCAACUUAUUUGAUCUCGAAUAUAUUUGUGGUAAAUUGUCUGUUUCAUCACUCUCCAUAUUAUUUUGGUUUUCACCUUCAAUAAUUUUUCAACGUAAUUUUACAAAUUUGCUGGGAACAUGAUUGGAAGUAGACCCCAAUUCAGAAUUAUUUUAUUUUUUAGUUUGAUUGCUUCUAGUAUGUUGUAGACCCCAAUCCAGAGUUAUUUUUAUGUCAUAUUGCUUCUAGUAUCUUAAAAUUAAUAAAAUGUUCAAGUCAAAUAAUACUCAUUGACUUGGACAAGAGUUUCCAGGUGUUGUCCAAUAUAAUAUACCUGCAAGCUAUUUUUUACCCUUUUUUCAGUAUAUAUAUACUACUGCAUUUUAAAGUUUGGGAAUUCUUGUCAGGUGAGUAAAUUCGUUAAUUUUAUGUUUUGGCUAUUUUUCAGACAGAAUCUUGGCUCACCACAAACUAAAACAAUGCAAUAUUGGUCAUAUAAUUAUUACUAUCAAGAGAGCUAGCAAUAUAUAUGUUGAUAGUUCCGGUCAGCAUUGUUCUUCUCAUAACUUUGAUGACUUGUUUGUUACUAUGUAUAGUUGUUACUGUGUAUAGUCGAUGGAUAUCUUUCUAACAGAAAGGAUCAGAGGUAGAGAGUUUCUACUUGAUAGAAGUUUAAAAACUGUUAGCUAGUGGCAACAUGCCUGUUUAAGUUGUAGUGAACCUCCUUUGGAAAGAUACUGUUUAAGUUUUAAGUCAAAUGGUGAAAUAACUAGGUUAUCAUUACCAUCAUCAAAACAUGCACUAUCUUUCAAUAUUUUGACAGCCACUGAUUUUAAUUGACAAAGUAACAUCAAUAUUGGUGAAAACUAAAAAAUAUACAUUUAUGCAAGUAGAAGUUUAUGUUGGCUUGGAAGCUCAAUCUUAUAUCAGAUAUAGUUGUUUGCACUCAAAUUUACUUGUCUUGCACACAAAAAAAUAAUGGUACAAAGCUAGUGUAUUGUAUCUUUACUUGUUUAAUUAGGCUCGCUUUGUUAGGACUCAUUUAAAUUCUUUAAGAAACAAAUCAAGAUCAAGGGUCGCCUAUGAAUGAGCUUAAACAAGUUGUAACUGAUUAGGAUUUAUAUGGAUAAACUCACCUCAGGGACAACAUCAAAAGCCUCAUCACAACAUUUUCGUUCUUCUAGAGGAACCCUUCUUAUACGCUGGAACUCGAUAUAUGCUUCCUCCUAAAUACAUGCAUUCAACAGAUCAUUAGUUGCUCUAUAAAGACCCUUCCUAUUACUUCUAUUUAUUCUUUUAUUCCCAAUGAACAGAAUUUUUCAAGACUGACCUUCGGUGAUAAGAAAACGAUAGAACUCCCUUGUCGACCCAACCUAGCAGUCCGGCCCACUCUGUGUAUGAACACAUCUGGAUCCUGAGGAGGGUCAUACUGCAGAUACACACAGAAAAAAGCAGAUACUGAAAUAAAGAAGCACAGUUCAUACACAAUUAACACCUAUGAUGGUGAAGUAAUUACCUGUAUAACACAAUCAACACCUGGAAUGUCAAGACCUCGAGCUGCAACAUCAGUACAUAGAAGAAUGCCACUUGAAAGAGAUGUAAACGAAGCUAAUGCUUUCUCCCUCGCAGCCUAGAGAAUACAAAAUUAAGCAGCAACAAAGGACCUUGUUCAAUCUUUAGAUGAAUACUUUAUACUUACAGGAAAGCAAAUGAUACUAAUGUUCAGUACUGAUAUUGAUCUGACAACAUGAUUUGCAAAAAGAAAAGAAAAAACGAACCUGUUUCAUCUGUCCAUGCAAAGGAAUUAAUGAACGACCCUUUAAAGCAGAAAGACGAGGAAGGACAACCCCCCAAUAAUCAACACAAGCACAGGUCAUGAAAUAACUGAAAUUGAGAAGGAUCAUAUGUGAGACAAGAGUCAAUAAUGUGUACCAGCAUUUUCAAUACUUAUCAUAUCUGUAGAAUAAAUAUCCAUGCUUAAUGUACAUUAUGAUCUUUUUGGACUUGUUCUUAACAAGUAGAUCCACAAGCUGUGAUGAUUUUUUAUCUGCUUCACAUUCAAGAUACUGCAAAAGUAAAAGACAGUAUAAAAAAGAUAUCUUUAUUGCCUAUAAUCACAAUAUUGUAACAACAUUACAAUUUAAUAUAUAGAUAAGCUGCAGGGUAAUAAUUCUUGAUAGAAAUGUACAUGCCUCAAGAAGAAGACCUGAUGGAGUUUUAGAGGAAACUGAUUGAAGUGAUGAUUGUGCAGAGUUGAUAGAUUUUGUUUCAGCUCGAACUUCAACUCUUACAGAAUUCCUCAAUCCUGCUUUGGAUAGCUCUUCGACAGCCUCUGUUUGAGUAGCUGAAAAGAGACCAGUUCUACGAAGCUUCGGUAGCCGAGAUAUAACAGAAGUUAUCUGCUUUUGAAAUCCCAUAUCCAAUAGCCUAUCAGCUUCAUCUAAUAUCAAAAUCUGUACAAACAGCAAUCUGGUAUUAAAAAUGUUUUCACAGAACUAAAAUCUGCCACUAGCACGUUUACCUAGUUGGUGGGCUCUUGGCAACCAAUCACUAACAAAACAUCAAUGACACACACUGUUUCUAAGAAUAAACAACACACACAAAAAAAGAGGGGGGGGGGGGGGGGGGGUGGNNNNNNNNNNNNNNNNNNNNNNNNNNNNNNNNNNNNNNNNNNNNNNNNNNNNNNNNNNNNNNNNNNNNNNNNNNNNNNNNNNNNNNNNNNNNNNNNNNNNNNNNNNNNNNNNNNNNNNNNNNNNNNNNNNNNNNNNNNNNNNNNNNNNNNNNNNNNNNNNNNNNNNNNNNNNNNNNNNNNNNNNNNNNNNNNNNNNNNNNNNNNNNCCUUUGCGAGAUGAAAGGUCAUUUGGCGUUUUCAAGACAAGAAUAAUUGCUGAACUAACAUAACAAAUCUCGUUUACCAGUUUCUAUUUCCUCAUAGUAGUGAAAAAUAUGAUUAUUCCGUCAAUACUGUAUGAAUUUUGUUUUUCUUUUUAUGCAAAAGCAGUGUGUUCAAGUAUAAUAACACUGGUGAAAGUCUUACUUCUACAAUUAAUGCAAAAAACGUCUUUACUUUUACAUAAAUAUGUGAUGUCAUUCAAUUAUAUAACUAUGCAGUUAAUAAACAAGUAAAUCCAAAGUUAACUAUUCUUCUUAGUUUUUCCCUCGUACUGAGUUUCAAGUAAAAAUAAUUGCACCUGAACGCUACAUAAAUCAACAUACUACCUCAAGGCUCCGAAAAUCAAGAAUAUCCAUGCGGUCCAUGAUGUCAUACAACCUUCCAGGGGUCCCAAUAAGUAGAUUAGCACCCUCAUCCUCGAUUUUCUUCAUGUCUGAUUUUACUUCAGCUCCACCAACAAGAAGAAUAGGUUUGACAUUGGAAAGCGUGGAGAUGAAUGGUUGGGCAACAUGAAAUAUUUGUGAUGACAACUCCCUCGUAGGUGAUAUAAUUAUUCCCAACACCUGGAGCAUUACUCAAGUUAAAUAUAGGUUUGACAUUGGAAAGCAUAGAGAUGAAUGGUUGGGCAACAUGAAAUAUUUGUGAUGACAACUCCCUUGUAGGUGAUAUAAUUAUUCCCAACACCUGGAGCAUUACUCAAGUUAAAUUGCAUAUUGCUAAAAACUAGGUAACCACACAAGUAUCAUUAACGGCUCAUUUAACAUCAUAACAGGCAAACAAAAAAAUACAUAUGCCGUCCCAUCUAAUGCAUUCAUCUACGUAACUAACUAGUAGAGACUUAAUCUUAGCUAAUAGAGUAAGUAAUACUUCCUCUUUCACUCUCAUUUCUUUACACUUUUUGUGCAUUACUCAAUACGCAUUUUAAGGCGCAUAUACAACAUAGUUUCGUAACUUUUUUUGAAAAUUUUCUUUUUUGUAUAAAAAUUUAGAUAGUAAAUAUUUAUUCACAAGAAAAAAAAUUCAAAAAUAAUUUAUCAAACUAUAUUUUAUGAGAGCAUUAGAAUGCAUGCCGAGCCCCCGUCCUCCAAGGUAAACAAUUGAGGGGGACGGGGGGAGUAGCUAAGAGGAGGUAAUCAGUAGGAAACUACAGGACCUUCUAGCUACUCUGCUUAAGCUGAGAUAUCAACCCACCAUACAUGCUAGAAUCGAGAUAUGAAGUAAAAUGAGCUAUUAGAAACUCGAGAAAAUGUUCCGCCUUCAAAUUGCAAAUAAGUUACCAAUUACAUAUACACACAGAGCUCAGCUGCAAUAAAACAACAACAUUAUAUUAACCGCAACAUUAUACUAACCACCUAAAGACACAAUAUUUAAUUUCCUUCUAAUGACAUUGACUAUAUGAUAACAACAAUGCAAUUUAAAGUUCUCCACUACAAAUUACUUCAUCGAAAGAAUAUCAUUGGGCAUGAGAAAAAAAAUAAAAUUUAUCGAGAAUCUACGGACCUGGUGAGGCUUAGGAGGAGUGGAAGCGCGACGGAGAAUCUCAACGAGAGGAACGACAAAAGCUAGGGUUUUCCCAGAGCCCGUGGCGGCGUCAACAGCGACAUCUUUAUAGCUACAUAGCAGAGGUAUAGUAGC
rnacentral:lncRNA from 1 species